GCCCUCACUUGUGUGUCACCUUCUUCAGCAGCAGCUGAUCUGUCUUCAACCCCAUCCUCUGCUGGAGGCUGCGAUGGAUCCAGCCGUGCUGGAGAGUGCACGGACCUUCAGUAUGGUGGCAGUCGGCAAGGCUGGCCACAGGUUACAGGAACACGACGGAGAAAUCCCAGCUCUGGAUUGACCCCGGUGUCCAGUGCUCUCCCUAUUCACGGACUAAUCGGAGGACCUGUAGCUGUCUCUGUGUUUCUAAAGCCUGGGUCUGGACUAAGUUGCUAUUCACAGGUGGUUCUGAACAUGCUCCCAUUGACGCUGGGGGAGCAAUAGCUUCCCCAGGAUCGAGAUGUUUGAGUGACAGUUUCCAGAAGUUUCUUGAGGGCAGCAUCCUCUCUUCUAGAGCUUUCCAAUACCAGUUGCAGCUCGGCCUCCUCUGCCUGCCUUGUGCAAAGCUCGUGGAUGCACUUUUCUC